AAGUUCACGAGAAAUCCAUCUCUGGACAAUUAGGUGCAUGUACAUGCUUUUUGAUGUAUCUCUACGGGUGAUCGGCGUCGCUUCCAGAGAAAUCCAUCUCUGUACAAUUAGGUGCAUGUACCUGCCUUUUGAUGUAUCUCUAUGGGUCAUCAGUUUUUGUUCAAGCUCUCUCCUCUCUGUUCCCGUCUCUCUGUCUCUUUCGCUCAGGUAAUCUCUCUGUCUCUACGCUCUCUUCUCUCCUUUCCUCUCACUUUCUUCUUUGGUCAGAUCAGAUCGUCAAUUUUGAGGGUUGAUGCACGAGUGUACGGUGGAGCUGGGCUUCAUCAUCGCGUCGGCUUCUCUCCUUCAAAGUGCAAAGAAUGCUUUAAAAGCUAUUGUGAGUUUGUGUCCAAAUUAUGGUGGUUCUUUUUUAAUUAAUUGAGAGGGAACCGUAGUGUAAGAUAGAAUAGCAGAUCAUGAAAACCCAUAAAUAAACUUCUUCGAUUAAAUCAAUUUCUUUGAUUAUUUGAUAUUUUUCUUCGGUUUCUUUGAUUAUUUGAUAUUAUGUUCUUGCUAAUUUCCUGAGCUGGUGGAGCAUCCUUCGUGCAUCUUGCAAAUCUGAUGCUUUGAAUUCUUUCUUCUUUUCCUUUCCACGAUUGUGCUUUGAACGUACUUUGGCAGAUCUCAUGUACCGGCCUCUGAACAUGAAGAUCUGUUCAAUUGAAAGCCCCAAUUCAGAUUUGGGUCUUUGAACAUAAAUAUUUGAGGAUCAAAGGCGCGAUUCAUUGUGGUUCUAUAUCAUACCCAACUGAGUUCUAUUCAUACUUCCAUUAUCCUCGGUCGUUCAGUUUUGAAGAUACACCAGACUAUUCAUAUCUGAAAAGACUCUUUAGAGGUCUAUUUAUUCAAGAAGGGCUCAAAGUGCUGAAUAUUAUGGCUUCGAACAGCAACAUCGUCACUUUUGAUGAUUUCAUUGGCAGUGGAAAGGAAUUGUUUUCACCAUUCUUUAUUUGGAUUGCGAUCUUCUCGAGAAGAAGUUUAUUGUCUAAUUUGUAUUGGUCUGUUCUUUGUGUUGCUGCUGCUGUUUGUAGGAUUCGAUUGCAAAAGGUACUUUCACAGGGCUAUGAUGACAGUGCUUCGCCAAUUCAGAGUAGAACUGGCAGUAAAGCCUUGUAGGACUAUUGUUUUGUUGGGAUACAGGUAUCAUCAUUUGAUAUGAUUAAUUCUUUGUUAAUUGGAAUAUCUUUUUGUUGGCUAAUUUGUUCUUUCUGAUUAGGUGAAACCUCCUAAGUGAGAUGUACGUGAGUUGUGAACUUCAAAUUUGAUAACAUAUAAGUUAUGUUUCUGAUUAGUUGGUUCCUGUAAGUCAGUUAUGAACUUCAUUACUUCUGUGAUUGUCUCACAUCUUUUCAGUAAGCUCUUUUGGUUUGUUUUUCAUCUUUUUAGUAAGUUUUGGGGAGAUGGCAUAUAUGAUGGAUAUGGUUUAAAUUUGUUUUCCUCAUUCACAAUAUGAUGCUCAUGUGAAUAUAAUUGUAUCUUUGAAAUUCCCUUUAUUAAUGUUUCCAUUUUUCUUCAGGCAUAUGUACAACAGCUACAGAACAGUUGACCAAAGCUGACCCAACUUGAUCAAGAGAUCCUGUGAGCUCGCUAGCAGGUUUUGUUUGGAAUUAUCUGUUCCAUAAUAUUGCAGAUGAGUGGACGUAGUCUUGCAUUGUAUUAAUGUGCUUCCUUAAAUUAUAUGAUUUUCCAUCCAUGAGUGACCUUUUUUUCCUUGAUUUCUUUUGAGCGAAUGACGAGAUUGAAAAGCUGCAGAAGAAGACCAUGAUUGGAGUCUUGGCGAGGAUCAAACAUGGACUACUACACAUCAUGUAGCUUUACAUUGCUACCCUUUCUGUUUUCUAAUUGCACGCUGCUUUUUAACAUGUCAUAAUCUUAUGUGCAUUAUAUUUAUUUAAUCUUCCUUUAUAUCUAAGGUAUAA